CCUACGGGAGGCAGCAGUGGGGAAUCUUGCGCAAUGGGCGAAAGCCUGACGCAGCAACGCCGCGUGCGGGAAGAAGGCUUUCGGGCUGUAAACCGCUUUCAGCAGGAACGAAAAUGACGGUACCUGCAGAAGAAGGAGCGGCCAACUAUGUGCCAGCAGCCGCGGUGAUACAUAGGCUUCAAGCGUUGUCCGGAUUUAUUGGGCGUAAAGAGUUCGUAGGCGGUCAAGUAAGUCGGGUGUGAAAAUUCUGGGCUCAACCCAGAGACGCCACCCGAUACUGCUUAACUUGAGUUCGAUAGGGGAGUGGGGAAUUCCUAGUGUAGCGGUGAAAUGCGCAGAUAUUAGGAGGAACACCGGUGGCGAAGGCGCCACUCUGGAUCGAUACUGACGCUGAGGAACGAAAGCAUGGGUAGCAAACAGGAUUAGAUACCCUGGUAGUCCAUGCCGUAAACGGUGGGCACUAGGUGUGGGUUUCUAUUAACGAAAUCCGCGCCGUCGCUAACGCAUUAAGUGCCCCGCCUGGGGAGUCAGUCGCAAGCUAAAACUCAAANAGAUAGACGGCGUGAGACGUGCCGACGGACGACGACGAGGGAGGUAGG
rnacentral:rRNA from 1 species